UACGUAGGGUGCAAGCGUUGUCCGGAAUUAUUGGGCGUAAAGAGCUUGUAGGCGGUUUGUCGCGUCUGCUGUGAAAUUUCGGGGCUCAACCCCGAACUUGCAGUGGGUACGGGCAGACUAGAGUGUGGUAGGGGGAGACUGGAAUUCCUGGUGUAGCGGUGAAAUGCGCAGAUAUCAGGAGGAACACCGAUGGCGAAGGCAGGUCUCUGGGCCACUACUGACGUGAGAAGCGAAAGCAUGGGGGAGCGAACAGG
rnacentral:rRNA from 1 species